GGGCGAAAGCCUGAUGGAGCAACGCCGCGUGAGUGAAGAAGGAUUUCGGUUCGUAAAACUCUGUUGUAAGGGAAGAACAAGUACAGUAGUAACUGGCUGUACCUUGACGGUACCUUAUUAGAAAGCCACGGCUAACUACGUGCCAGCAGCCGCGGUAAUACGUAGGUGGCAAGCGUUGUCCGGAAUUAUUGGGCGUAAAGCGCGCGCAGGUGGUUUCUUAAGUCUGAUGUGAAAGCCCACGGCUCAACCGUGGAGGGUCAUUGGAAACUGGGAGACUUGAGUGUAGAAGAGGAUAGUGGAAUUCCAAGUGUAGCGGUGAAAUGCGUAGAGAUUUGGAGGAACACCAGUGGCGAAGGCGACUCUCUGGUCUGUAACUGACACUGAGGCGCGAAAGCGUGGGGAGCAAACAGGAUUAGAUACCCUGGUAGUCCACGCCGUAAACGAUGAGUGCUAAGUGUUAGGGGGUUUCCGCCCCUUAGUGCUGCAGCUAACGCAUUAAGCACUCCGCCUGGGGAGUACGGUCGCAAGACUGAAACU
rnacentral:rRNA from 1 species